CGGGAAGUAGCUCAGCUUGGUAGAGCACAUGGUUUGGGACCAUGGGGUCGCAGGUUCGAAUCCUGUCUUCCCGA
rnacentral:ncRNA from 10 species